rnacentral:rRNA from 1 species
UGCCGCGUGUGUGAAGAAGGCCUUCGGGUUGUAAAGCACUUUCAGUCGUGAGGAAGGUAGUGUAGUUAAUAGCUGCAUUAUUUGACGUUAGCGACAGAAGAAGCACCGGCUAACUCCGUGCCAGCAGCCGCGGUAAUACGGAGGGUGCGAGCGUUAAUCGGAAUUACUGGGCGUAAAGCGCAUGCAGGUGGUUUGUUAAGUCAGAUGUGAAAGCCCGGGGCUCAACCUCGGAAUUGCAUUUGAAACUGGCAGACUAGAGUACUGUAGAGGGGGGUAGAAUUUCAGGUGUAGCGGUGAAAUGCGUAGAGAUCUGAAGGAAUAC